AAUCAAUGUUUCAGUCCAACUACCUUGACAUAUUAAGGAAAGCUUGUUAAUGGGACUGAAAUGGUGAAUGUAUGUAGGGCACAACUGUAAAAAAUUUUAUUUUGAAGUCCUGUGGGUGUGCUCUUCACUUUAAAUAUGUUAUUGUGCUGGAGUAUGCACCUAGCAACAAGACUGGGCAAAUAUCUGCUCAUUACAUAUGGUACAUAUUAAUGACAUUUCUCUGUG